AUUGAACGCUGGCGGCGUGCCUAACACAUGCAAGUCGAACGAGUGGCGGGGGUGUGAAAAAUGUAUGGGACACUCCCUUAUGCAGGGGGCUACCUACUGGAAACGGUGGCUAAUCCCGCAUGCCUUCGGCUUUUCGCAGGUGGGAUUAGCUAGUAGGUGGGGUAAGGGCUCACCUAGGAGACGAUCCCUAGCUGGUAUGAGAGGAUGAACAGCCACACUGGAACUGAGACACGGUCCAGACUCCUACGGGAGGCAGCAGUGGGGAAUAUUGCACAAUGGGCGCAAGCCUGAUGCAGCAAUGCCGCGUGUAUGAAGAAGGCCUUCGGGUUGUAAAGUACUGUCAGCGGGGAGGCGUUACCUGCAGAAGAAGCAACGGCUAACUCCGUGCCAGCAGCCGCGGUAAUUC
rnacentral:rRNA from 1 species